rnacentral:rRNA from 1 species
AGGACGAACGCUGGCGGCGCGCUUAACGCAUGCAAGUCGAACGAGAUCCAUCCAGUAGCAAUACUGGUGAAGAUCGAGUGGCGAACGGGUGAGUAUCACGUGAGGAACCCACCCCGGAGACCGGGAUAACCCUCCGAAAGGAGAGCUAAUACCGGAUGUCCUCAUCGGAUCGCAUGUUCUGAUGAGGAAAUGGAUUCCGCUCCGGGACGGCCUCGCGGCCUAUCAGCUAGUUGGUGAGGUAACGGCCCACCAAGGCGACGACGGGUAGCUGGUCUGAGAGGACGAUCAGCCACACUGGGACUGAGACACGGCCCAGACUCCUACGGGAGGCAGCAGCGGGGAAUAUUGCACAAUGGGCGAAAGCCUGAUGCAGCGACGCCGCGUGGGGAUGAAGGCUCUCGGUUGUAAACCCUUUCAGCAGGACGAAAUCAGACGGUACCUGCAGAAGAAGCUCCGGCCAACUACGUGCCAGCAGCCGC